rnacentral:lncRNA from 1 species
GUGGAAUAAAAACCACCAAGGGUUUUCAAAGGCUUGCGUGUACUUUUUGUUUAAGAACUAACUUCAUAAUUACAGAUGCUCAGUUUAGCAAGAUAACCCGAUGGAACCUGUUUCACAAAAAUAUGCUACAAGGGGGAAGACUCAGCAAGAAAAGUGGCCACAUAUGAAACUAAAGCGCGAGCACAGUGAGCGCAGGCAUCUUUAUAGUGUGCUGAGUCAAAAACAGUUUUUGCAAAGUUUUGUUGUUGUUAAUGAAAGGGUUUUUGUAAAAAGAAGAAUCUAAGGGUCUGUUUCACCUGUAGCUUGCCUGUCAUCGACGUAUAAAGAAAUCUGGAUGGGAUGGGCCGUCCUUUUUACAGUUAGGACUUUCUGUUAUUUGCCGUUGUGGUAAAAAAAAGGGAGGAAUGAAAACCAACAGGGUUAGUCUGGGAAUGACUACUGCCUGUUACCGGCAAAACCUUAGCAGGAAAGCAAGGCUGCCUUCCCGAGGUUCACCGGAGAGAACACCAAAAGCAGACGGCUUUUGAGUCCUGUGGUGAAAUGAAUAUUUGACGAUGCAGAAGCUGAACCAUGCAAACAAGCACACAACUGCACAUCUCCCGCUUCCAAGAGCGAAUAGGCGCUGUGCAAAAGCGCUUCUGGACAGCUAGAGAUAUAACCGCCCUCGCUGCGUCCUACAUCAGGUGCCUGUGAGAAAAACCGACCUGACUACUCGCAGGGGGGAAACACGGUUUCCACAUUCGACUCAUUUAGGAACAACAUUUUUAAAACACUCAUACCCAUAAACAUAGCU